AGUGAACGCUGGCGGUAGGCCUAACACAUGCAAGUCGAACGGCAGCACAGUAAGAGCUUGCUCUUACGGGUGGCGAGUGGCGGACGGGUGAGGAAUACAUCGGAAUCUACUUUUUCGUGGGGGAUAACGUAGGGAAACUUACGCUAAUACCGCAUACGACCUACGGGUGAAAGCAGGGGAUCUUCGGACCUUGCGCGAUUGAAUGAGCCGAUGUCGGAUUAGCUAGUUGGCGGGGUAAAGGCCCACCAAGGCGACGAUCCGUAGCUGGUCUGAGAGGAUGGUCAGCCACACUGGAACUGAGACACGGUCCAGACUCCUACGGGAGGCAGCAGUGGGGAAUAUUGGACAAAGGGCGCAAGCCUGAUCCAGCCAUACCGAGUGGGUGAAGGAGGCCUUCGGGUUGUAAAGCCCUUUUGUUGGGAAAGAAAAGCAGCAGGUUAAUACCCCGCUGUUCUGACGGUACCCAAAGAAUAAGCACCGGCUAACUUCGUG
rnacentral:rRNA from 1 species